rnacentral:lncRNA from 10 species
GAGGUGAGCGCGGACGUCAGAGUGGAGAGCGGAAGGUCAGGGAGGCUCGGAGCGGAAGUGAGACUAGGGAGUCUGUCCGCCAUUGUGGACCCGAGAAGCAGAGAGCGAGAGGGGGAAGAGGAGCGUGCAAGCGGAAAAGACGGGCCUCUUCCUCCGACUCCCGAGCGCGAGGCCCUCAUUUUGGGUUCUCAGCGAACGGCGGCAGCGGCGGCGGCUGGAACAAUCACUCGGCCAAGGGCGACAGCCAACUGCUGUGAGUGCACGGGGAGAGGCCCAGGCAGCGGCGGCGGCGGCGGCUCUCGGGUUGCGGUGAAGAAUGUCAGCCACUAGCGUGGAUCAGAGACCUAAAGGGCAAGGAAAUAAAGGUGAGUUUGGAUUUUUUUUUUUCUUAUUGCUCAAUGUUGCCUUAAUGUUACUUUUAAACUCUGUGAGGGUAUUUUGUUUG